rnacentral:tRNA from 2 species
GCCACCCUAGCUCAGUUGGUAGAGCGGAGCUUUCGUAAAGCUCAGGUCGCGAGUUCGAGUCUCGCGGGUGGCU